UGGGAAAAGCUCAAAUUUAAAAUCUGGCAGCUUUUUUAGACUGUCCGAGUUGUAAUCUAGAGAAGUAUUACCUUUGUUAGACCAUGUAAAAGUCUUCUGGAAUGGAGUAUCAUAGAGGGUGAGAAUCCCGUCUUUGACAUGGAUUACUAGCAUAUUAAGGUGCACUCUCAAA
rnacentral:rRNA from 1 species